rnacentral:rRNA from 1 species
CAAGUCGAACGGCAGCACGGGGGCAACCCUGGUGGCGAGUGGCGAACGGGUGAGUAACGCAUCGGAACGUGCCCAGUAGUGGGGGACAACCAGUCGAAAGACUGGCUAAUACCGCAUACGACCUAAGGGUGAAAGCGGGGGACCGAAAGGCCUCGCGCUAUUGGAGCGGCCGAUGUCUGAUUAGCUAGUUGGUGAGGUAAAAGCUCACCAAGGCGACGAUCAGUAGCUGGUCUGAGAGGACGACCAGCCACACUGGGACUGAGACACGGCCCAGACUCCUACGGGAGGCAGCAGUGGGGAAUUUUGGACAAUGGGCGCAAGCCUGAUCCAGCCAUGCCGCGUGCGGGAAGAAGGCCUUCGGGUUGUAAACCGCUUUUGGCAGGAACGAAACGGUGACUCCUAAUACGAGUCGCUAAUGACGGUACCUGCAGAAUAAGCACCGGCUAACUACGUGCCAGCAGCCGCGGUAAUACGUAGGGUGCGAGCGUUAAUCGGAAUUACUGGGCGUAAAGCGUACGCANGCGGCUAUGCAAGACAGGUGUGAAAUCCCCGGGCUUAACCUGGGAACUGCAUUUGUGACUGCAUGGCUAGAGUUUGUCAGAGGGGGGUGGAAUUCCACGUGUAGCAGUGAAAUGCGUAGAGAUGUGGAGGAACACCGAUGGCGAAGGCAGCCCCCUGGGAUAAAACUGACGCUCAUGUACGAAAGCGUGCGCAGCAAACAGGAUUAGAUACCCUGGUAGUCCACGCCCUAAACGAUGUCGACUAGUUGUCGGGGAUUCACUUCCUUGGUA